rnacentral:rRNA from 1 species
AUUGAACGCUGGCGGCAGGCCUAACACAUGCAAGUCGAGCGGUUGACGGGAGCUUGCUCCCUGAUUCAGCGGCGGACGGGUGAGUAAUGCCUAGGAAUCUGCCUAUUAGUGGGGGACAACGUCUCGAAAGGAACGCUAAUACCGCAUACGUCCUACGGGAGAAAGCAGGGGACCUUCGGGCCCUGCGCUAAUAGAUGAGCCUAGGUGGGAUUAGCUUGUUGGUGAGGUAAUGGCUCACCAAGGGGACGAUCCGUAACUGGUCUGAGAGGAUGAUCAGUCACACUGGAACUGAGACACGGUCCAGACUCCUACGGGAGGCAGCAGUGGGGAAUAUUGGACAAUGGGCGAAAGCCUGAUCCAGCCAUGCCGCGUGUGUGAAGAAGGUCUUCGGAUUGUAAAGCACUUUAAGUUGGGAGGAAGGGUUGUAGAUUAAUACUCUGCAAUUUUGACGUUACCGACAGAAUAAGCACCGGCUAACUCUGUGCCAGCCGCCGCCGUAAUAC